GCCGAAAUAGCUCAGUUGGGAGAGCGUUAGACUGAAGAUCUGAAGAUCCCUGGUUUGAUCCCUGGUUUCGGCA
rnacentral:tRNA from 1 species